rnacentral:rRNA from 1 species
GACGAACGCUGGCGGCGUGCUUAACACAUGCAAGUCGAGCGGAGCGGCGAACGGGUGAGUAACGCGCGAGUACCUGCCCCCCCCCCUGGGAUAACAGUUGGAAACGGCUGCUAAUACCGGAUAGUGGGGGAUGACUCGCGUCCUAUCGGCUUGUUGGUGGGUGAGUGGCCUACCAAGGCGACGACGGGUAGCCGGCCUGAGAGGGCGACCGGCCACAUUGGGCUGAGAUACGAGCCAAACUGCUACGGGGGGCAGCGGUGGGGAGUAUUGCACAAUGAGGGAAACAAUGAUGCAGCAACGCCGCGUGCGGGAUGACGGCCUUCGGGUUGUAGACCGGUUUCAGCCAUGACGCGGUAGUGGCAGAAGAAGCACCGGCUAACUACGUGCCAGCAGCCGCGGUAAUUC